GACGAGGGCGCGAGCGUUGUCCGGAUUUAUUGGGCGUAAAGAGCUCGUAGGCGGCUUGUCGCGUCGACUGUGAAAACCCGUGGCUCAACCAUGUGGUCUGCAGUCGAUACGGGCAGGCUAGAGUCCGGAAGAGGAGAGUGGAAUUCCUGGUGUAGCGGUGAAAUGCGCAGAUAUCAAGGAAGAACACCCGUGGCUAAGGCGGCUCGCUGGGACGGUACUGACGCUGGAGACGCGAAAGCGUGGGGGAGCAAAACAGG
rnacentral:rRNA from 1 species